rnacentral:rRNA from 1 species
AGAGUUUGAUCCUGGCUCAGAUUGAACGCUGGCGGCAGGCCUAACACAUGCAAGUCGAGCGGUAGCACAGGAGAGCUUGCUCUCUGGGUGACGAGCGGCGGACGGGUGAGUAAUGUCUGGGAAACUGCCUGAUGGAGGGGGAUAACUACUGGAAACGGUAGCUAAUACCGCAUAACGUCUACGGACCAAAGUGGGGGACCUUCGGGCCUCAUGCCAUCAGAUGUGCCCAGAUGGGAUUAGCUAGUAGGUGGGGUAAUGGCUCACCUAGGCGACGAUCCCUAGCUGGUCUGAGAGGAUGACCAGCCACACUGGAACUGAGACACGGUCCAGACUCCUACGGGAGGCAGCAGUGGGGAAUAUUGCACAAUGGGCGCAAGCCUGAUGCAGCCAUGCCGCGUGCGUGAAGAAGGCCUUCGGGUUGUAAAGCACUUUCAGCGAGGAGGAAGGGUAGUGUGUUAAUAGCACAUUGCAUUGACGUUACUCGCAGAAGAAGCACCGGCUAACUCCGUGCCAGCAGCCGCGGUAAUACGGAGGGUGCAAGCGUUAAUCGGAAUUACUGGGCGUAAAGCGCACGCAGGCGGUUUGUUAAGUCAGAUGUGAAAUCCCCGCGCUUAACGUGGGAACUGCAUUUGAAACUGGCAAGCUAGAGUCUUGUAGAGGGGGGUAGAAUUCCAGGUGUAGCGGUGAAAUGCGUAGAGAUCUGGAGGAUACCGGUGGCGAAGGCGGCCCCUGGACAAGACUGACGCUCAGGUGCGAA